rnacentral:rRNA from 1 species
GACAGAGGGUGCAAACGUUGUUCGGAAUUACUGGGCGUAAAGCGCGUGUAGGCGGCUAAGUAAGUCGGGCGUGAAAUCCCACGGCUCAACCGUGGAAGUGCACUCGAAACUGCAUAGCUAGAGUCCUGGAGAGGAAGGUGGAAUGCUUGGUGUAGAGGUGAAAUUCGUAGAUAUUCGCAAGAACACCGGUGGCGAAGGCGGCCAACUGGACCAUCACUGACGCUGAGGCGCGAAAGCGUGGGGAGCAAACAGG